rnacentral:tRNA from 1 species
GCCCAAGUGGUGAAAUGGCAGACACAAAGGACUUAAAAUCCUUCGCUGGCAACAGCGUGUCGGUUCGAGUCCGACCUUGGGCA